rnacentral:rRNA from 1 species
AAAUUGAAGAGUUUGAUCAUGGCUCAGAUUGAACGCUGGCGGCAGGCCUAACACAUGCAAGUCGAACGGUAACAGGAAGCAGCUUGCUGCUUUGCUGACGAGUGGCGGACGGGUGAGUAAUGUCUGGGAAACUGCCUGAUGGAGGGGGAUAACUGCUGGAAACGGUGGCUAAUACCGCAUAACGUCGCAAGACCAAAGAGGGGGACCUUCGGGCCUCUUGCCAUCAGAUGUGCCCAGAUGGGAUUAGCUUGUUGGUGAGGUAACGGCUCACCAAGGCGACGAUCCCUAGCUGGUCUGAGAGGAUGACCAGCCACACUGGAACUGAGACACGGUCCAGACUCCUACGGGAGGCAGCAGUGGGGAAUAUUGCACAAUGGGCGCAAGCCUGAUGCAGCCAUGCCGCGUGUAUGAAGAAGGCCUUCGGGUUGUAAAGUACUUUCAGCGGGGAGGAAGGUGUUGUGGUUAAUAACC